rnacentral:tRNA from 1 species
CGGGCUGUAGCGCAGUUGGCUAGCGCGCAUCGUUCGGGACGAUGAGGUCGAGGGUUCGAGUCCCUCCAGCCCGACCA